rnacentral:rRNA from 1 species
CCUACGGGUGGCAGCAGUGGGGAAUAUUGCACAAUGGGGGGAACCCUGAUGCAGCGACGCCGCGUGAGUGAAGAAGUAUUUCGGUAUGUAAAGUUCUGUUAGCAGGGAAGAAGAAAGACGGUACCUGACCAAGAAGCCCCGGCUAACUAAGUGCCAGCAGCCGCGGUAAUACGUAGGGGGCAAGGGUUAUCCGGAUUUACUGGGUGUAAAGGGAGCGUAGACGGCAUGGCAAGUCUGAAGUGAAAGGCAGGAGCCCAACCCCAGGACUGCACUGGAAACUGUCCGGCUAGAGUGCAGGAGAGGUAGGUGGAAUUCCUGGUGUAGCGGUGAAAUGCGUAGAUAUUAGGAGGAACACUAGUGGCGAAGGCGGCUUACUGGACUGUAACUGACGUUGAGGCUCGAAAGCGUGGGGAGCAAACAGGAUUAGAUACCCCAGUAGUC